CCCUGCUCCGUCCUUUCUUCCUGCGUCCGCGUGCGUCUAUUGUAUCCUCGUUGUCAUGUACCGCGUCCCCAUUACCUCCACAGAUCGCCGCCCUCUGAAUGCACUCUCUGGGUGCUUCCCUAAAGGCUUCGGGAUGCAGAACCUGCCGCAAAUAAGCCAGGCUUCUCCAUAUCGACGGUGGAAGCCUACAAGGGAGCCACGAUGGCCGCUUGCGCAGUGAGAGUCCGCGGCCUGCGUACUGCGCCAUUUGACGGCUUUUCCAGGUGAAGACUCCAUGAAGAUGGGCUAAGGAGACCAGAAGAUGUGACAGGUGAAACGCAGCAGUAGGGCCUGGUUACACCCAAGGCUCUUGGAAGUCUGAAAAGCCAGCCUGUCUGCCUCAGCUCAUUCACUGAGAGUCAUGUAACCAGUGAAGGGGCCAUCAUUUAUGAUUUGAUCUACAGUUGGUUGGAAAAAAUCAAAAGCAAGAGGACAGCUCUGGAAGCAAGGUUCUGCAAGCUGUGAUGACAUACAGAUCAAGGCUAGUCUGGUCUACAGAGCUAAUUCUAAAACAGACAUCAAAGGCUACACAGAGAAACCCUGUCUUAAAGUGAAAUGCUUUGUGAUUUAACGUGUAAUUGGGUCAAUAAAGACUUUGGAAAGUG